GUAAUCUGAUAAAAAAAAAAAAAAGGGCAAAGUUUACAAUGUUUAACCAUAAGGCAGGCGUUUGGUGGACAUGAAUUCAUUGAAUUUUAUUAAAUUGCUUCGGAUAAGCCAACAAGCAAUGCCUAGACGAUGUUUACAUAGACCUGCUUAGACUCGACAAAUACAAGCCUAUUGUUUUGGGAAACUUCCAGUUCCAGCUACCAAUCCAAAGUAAAUUAACAGCACAAGAAGAAGGCACAAAAUUUUAUACUUCUAGUAGGUAUGGCAGCACGACUUUGGCUGCCUAGGACGAGUCUACAAGAUAGACUAGCCAAUCAAUAAUUAAAAAAAAAAAAAAGAUAAUCUGACUUGACCAUAUCCGAUUUUCUUGUCUUGUAAUAGUAAAGUCUAUGUCAACGAAAGACCAUUCAAAAUCAAUGGAAAUUAUAAUGAAAUAUUGCUUGAUUAAUUUGCGCUGCCAACAGUCAUUGCAGGCACAAAUUAAAAAAUAAAUACCAGCACCAGACCAUUGGUUUCCUCCCUCUCACCCGAGAAGACCACCAAUUGCUGCCGUCAGGUCAGUCCUCCUGGCUCCAGCUACCAGCAUCCUAGGUUUUUUCUUGGCUGAAGUAUUUAAUUUGGAUCAAUUACCUUUCUAAGGAUUUAAUUCUAAACUAAAUUUAUCCUUUUGCAUGCCUAUAGUGGCUCUAAUAAAGAAUAAGUAUAUCUCAAAAUUACAUUAUUAUAUUCAUUUAGUAAAUAAUAUCUUUAUGACAUCCUUUAAUAGGAAAAUUCCAUAUCUUUUCUUCUUAUUUUUUUUUAAAUACAUACGCGUAGGAAUCUAUUCCACAUCCACAUCAGCCUUUAC
rnacentral:misc_RNA from 1 species